rnacentral:lncRNA from 1 species
CCAGGUUCUGGGGCUGGGCUGCCUCACAGGUCACUGUCCCCAGGUGUAAACAGCUGAUAACAGCUUAAACUGCAGGCAUUCCCUGAGGAGAUGCACACUGUAAUUGCAACUUUCUAGCCAGCAGACAAACACAGGCUUUUUAAUCCAGCCUUGUGACCUUCCAGAAGAAAAUUUCUCUUAGAAAUCAAAAGUGGGGGAGAAGGGACAACAAAACGGCCUUGGGCAUCCCCUGGCUCACAGCCUGACCCGGCAUUGAGGAAAACACACUUUUUAGUAAGUCCGUGGACCCCAACACGUUGGGCUCGGGGCUGGCCAGGUUCCCAACCACCUGUUCAGACCUGUGGGACUGAGGGCGAUCAGUUCCAUCUUCCAGGGCGUCCUCUUCUCCCAUCCUUCCAUCCACCCCUUCCUGGGUUCCGGGUUCCGGUUUCCGGGACGGACGGAGGGACGGACUGAGGCUGAGAUGUCCUGGUCUUGCAGAGCCACACCGUGCAACAUGAGUGUGGGAGCCACAUGUGUAGGUUCAUCUAGGGCCACAUUGACACCGUAAAGAGAAACGGGUGAAAUCACUUCUAAUAAUGCGUUUGACUUAACCCAGUGUAUCCCAAACAGCAUCUCAGCAUGCAAUCAAUAUAAACAAGCGAGAUAUUUUAUAUGACUUUGAAACACAGCAUGUAGACUCAGCCACCUUUCAGGAGCUCUGUGGCUCCUGGCUCCUUAGUUCAGUCCUAGACUGUAAUCCUGGUCUCCCUCCCUCAACUGCUGGGGGACGGAACCACAGGGCCUUUGCACUGAGGUAUAUCCCAGUCCUUUUUUCUAUUUUAAGAGAGGUUCUUGCUAAGUCCCUAAACUCCCUGGACUGGGCUCAGACUUUCGAUCUUCCUGCCUCAUCCUCCUGAGUGCUUAGAUUAUAGGCAUGCAGCAGUGUGCCUGACUCCUGUCUUAAUUUAGCAGAGUCCUCUUGUUUCCAGCUGGAGGUGACUCUUCCUUCAGGAAGUCUUCAUUUAUCUUUCCACUUUCCUCUCAGGCCUGUGAGAGUUAAAUGAGUUGAAUUAUGCAGAGUACCUAGAAUUGUGGGCGGCACUGUAACACCGUUUGUUAUACUGUUAUGAACAAUGGCUGGAUGGCGAUUAUUGCAUGUCUUUCUCUCCUUGUUCUACUCAGAGCUGCAGGAGGACCAAGGAUCCCACCUUCUCCCGGGCUCUUGUUUUAGGCUGGGUGCCUGGCACAAAUCAGUGCAUAUUCAGCAUAAAAGCACUGGGUGAAUGAAAAAGAAAAGCAAAUCCAUGGGUGAUUAGCCAUUCUAACUCUGCAGUUGCCAUGGGUUGAAAUCAGGCCUGGGUGGCAAUGUAUCGUAUCAGACUCUGUAUGUACAGAUGUCUAGACAAUGGCCCUAAAGAGAUGAAAUCUGGCCUCAGAAUGGGAUGAAAUCAGGGUGGUUGGGUGGGAAGGGCUCAGAUUUUGAUUUGGACACACCUGGCUCUGAAUCCUUGUCAUCUCUUGUACUGCUUGUAUGAUUUGGGAGAAGUUACUGAACUUUUCCAUGUCUCUGUUUGCCCAUCUGUAAAACGGAAUAUGAGCAUCUCUUCACCCUUUGUACCUAUAUGCAUAGUCAGCUUGGAAAUGGCAAGAACACAGGCUCUAAUCUCAGUUUAGCCACCCUCAGGCAGGCUGCUUAGCCCUUCUGUGCCUCGACACCCACUGUACCUACUGUGGCUAUGCGCUUUUGGUAUUCAACGAGACACAUGCUGUACACGUCAAGGCUUGAAAUAUGGUAGUUGCCCAUGUUAAUUCUAUACUUUAAUUUCCAGCCUAUGAAUUCUAUCUUUCUUUUCUCCUCUUUCCACUAGGCAGAAGGAACGUUCAAGUGGUUCACUAGUCAUCCUGCCUAGUGGAUACUGUGUAACAGGUUCAAGUUUUCCAAAGAUCCAUUGGGCAAAACUAUAAAACUUGCAAACUUUAGUCCUUCCACCCUUUUGCCUUAAUCUUCCUCCUCUUCUUCCAGAAAAUCCUCUCUUGUACCACGUUGGUUCUGAGCAUUUUCUUCUCUCUCCAGCUCUCCUAGAUUACUUUCUAGCUUGCUAGAGGGCAGCCAGGCACCCAGGAGGGCUUGCCUCUUGCUGCUGCACAUUCUCUGGGCGCUGCUGUUCUGCUGGAGAGGCUUUUCCAUGACUUCCUAAACAUCUGUUUGUGCAUUUUUCCUCACCAGGUGCCAAACAGUGUCACAGAUUCAGGCCUCUUCUUUCUGGAUCUGAACCAUUUGCAUUCAGCCAGAGACACCAUAGGUUGUGCGUAAGUGUGCCCUGGGUAUGAUCCAGUGAGUGCUUCUCACUGUCUUCCUCCCAAGCCUACCAAAGAAUGGCAGAUGCUAGGAUGAGAACCUGCAGUGGGCAGAGGCUGGCUGCUUGUCUGGAUGUGAAACAAAACCCUUCCAGACCUCUGGGGAAGAAGCAGAGGUGGGGAAGGGAGCUGGGAGCCCAGGAGGGCUGAUGUUAUGGCUGUGUCUAGAUGUUCCCCCAGAGCCUCCUGCGGUCACAGGUGGGGCUCUUUCAGAGGUGGCUGGAUCUUGAGUGUCUGACACUGGAAUUGAUUCAAGGUGCAAUGCUAGGUUCAGUGGCAGUGGGAUUACAGGUGUGAGUGCUACCCGCCCUAAGUGGUCUGGAUAAGAUAAAAGGGGCAGAAAGACUGUUAAGGUCUCUUGUGGCUUUUUGGUGUCUUCUGGCUGCAAAUGAACUGUUUCUUCUGUGUGAUGCCACCCUGCCUUGGAGCCAGCUGACUAUGGACAGAAACCUCUACAAACUAUGAGC